GGGCUCAUCAGUACCUGGUGACAAAAGGUCAAUCCAGCUCUGACUUGAGGCUGUUCAAGAAUCUGCGCCACUUGAUCUGGUUCCACCUCUACCACAGGCAGAGAAACACAGGCCUGGACUCUUUGUUGGCCAGACAAAAUCAGGAACGAAAUCAUUGGUUUUCACAACUGGGUCCAGUUCCACCUGCAAAGGAUAUAAGGCCAGGGAGCAUGAUUUGAUUACAGGAAGUCUCUGGCUGUGUUGCUGAAUCUGCCGAUGCAGGAUCAGACAUGGAUGGAUGAGGUGCUGCAACUGAGACCUGCCGUUUGUCUUUUCUGGUCGGCGAGUGGAGAAUCACACACAGUGGUCUGCAAAGAGAGCUUCAGGAUGCUUCCUCCCACUGUCCACUGCAUCGUCCAUCCACAGGGUUUG